GACGAACGCUGGCGGCGUGCUUAACACAUGCAAGUCGAACGGAAAGGCCCCUUCGGGGGUACUCGAGUGGCGAACAGGUGAGUAACACGUGAGUAACCUGCCCUUGACUUCGGGAUAACUUCAGGAAACUGGGGCUAAUACCGGAUAGGAAUCCUUGCUGCAUGGUGGGGGUUGGAAAGCUUCGGCGGUUUUGGAUGGACUCGCGGCUUAUCAGCUUGUUGGUGGGGUAGUGGCUUACCAAGGCUUUGACGGGUAGCCGGCCUGAGAGGGCGACCGGCCACAGUGGGACUGAGAUACGGCCCAGACUCCUACGGGAGGCAGCAGUGGGGAAUAUUGCACAAUGGGCGGAAGCCGGAUGCAGCAACGCCGCGUGCGGGAUGACGGCCUUCGGGUUGUAAACCGCUUUCAGCAGGGGCGAAGCUUGUGGUGACGGUACCUGCAGAAGAAGCACCGGCUAACUACGUG
rnacentral:rRNA from 1 species